CAGCAGCCGCGGGAAUACGAAGGGGGCUAGCGUUGCUCGGAAUGACUGGGCGUAAAGGGCGCGUAGGCGGCGAUCAAAGUCAGGCGUGAAAUUCCUGGGCUCAACCUGGGGGCUGCGCUUGAUACUUGGUUGCUUGAGUGGGGAAGAGGGUCGUGGAAUUCCCAGUGUAGAGGUGAAAUUCGUAGAUAUUGGGAAGAACACCGGUGGCGAAGGCGGCGACCUGGUCCUUGACUGACGCUGAGGCGCGAAAGCGUGGGGAGCAAACAGGAUUAGAUACCCCCGUAGUCCCUGUCUCUUAUAC
rnacentral:rRNA from 1 species